GACGAACGCUGGCGGCGUGCUUAACACAUGCAAGUCGAACGGAAAGGCCCUGCUUUUGUGGGGUGCUCGAGUGGCGAACGGGUGAGUAACACGUGAGUAACCUGCCCUUGACUUUGGGAUAACUUCAGGAAACUGGGGCUAAUACCGGAUAGGAGCUCCUGCUGCAUGGUGGGGGUUGGAAAGUUUCGGCGGUUGGGGAUGGACUCGCGGCUUAUCAGCUUGUUGGUGGGGUAGUGGCUUACCAAGGCUUUGACGGGUCGCCGGCCUGUGAGGGUGACCGGCGACAUUGGGGCUGAGAUACGGCCGAGACGCCUACGGGAGGCAGCAGUGGGGAAUAUUGCACAAGGGGCGGAAGCCGGAUGCAGCAACGCCGCGUGCUGGAUGACGGCCUUCGGGUUGUAAACCGCUUUCGCCUGUGACGAAGCGUGAGUGACGGUAAUGGGUAAAGAAGGACCGGCUAACUACGUG
rnacentral:rRNA from 1 species